rnacentral:lncRNA from 1 species
CGCUCGAAAUGAGGCCACCCAGUAGUUAGGUGUGAAUUUUCGAGACCUUUGGCACCGUUCUAAGAUGGGUCCUCUCUUCGUAGGCUAAUGCAUUGGCCCUUUUUGACCCGUUUUGGGGCGAAAAAAAAACUGACUCCCGGGCAUAUUUUUUUCGGCCUUUAUGGGCAGAGAACUUUAAUACCGCUCGAAAUGAGGCCACCCAGUAGUUAGGUGUGAAUUUUCGAGACCUUUGGCACCGUUCUAAG